CCUACGGGAGGCAGCAGUGGGGAAUCUUGCGCAAUGGGCGAAAGCCUGACGCAGCCAUGCCGCGUGAAUGAUGAAGGUCUUAGGAUUGUAAAAUUCUUUCAGUAGGGACGAUAAUGACGGUACCUACAGAAGAAGCCCCGGCUAACUUCGUGCCAGCAGCCGCGGUAAUACGAAGGGGGCUAGCGUUGCUCGGAAUUACUGGGCGUAAAGGGAGCGUAGGCGGGUUAUCAAGUUGGAGGUGAAAGCCCAGGGCUCAACCUUGGAAUAGCCUUCAAAACUGAUAACCUAGAGGAUGGAAGAGGUAAGUGGAACUCCGAGUGUAGAGGUGAAAUUCGUAGAUAUUCGGAAGAACACCAGUGGCGAAGGCGACUUACUGGUCCAUUACUGACGCCGAGGCUCGAAAGCGUGGGGAGCAAACAGGAUUAGAUACCCUGGUAGUCCACGCUGUAAACGAUGAUUGCUAGUUGUCGGCAGCANGCUGUCGGUGACGCAGCUACGCAUAAGACAUACCGCCGUCGGGUAGGUACGGUCGCGAGAAGUUAAACGUUAAAGGUAAAGUUAGUAACGGUCGUGUUAGAGUGCCGAACGGACGACGACGAGGGAGGAGG
rnacentral:rRNA from 1 species